rnacentral:lncRNA from 1 species
GGAAAUCACUAACCAUUAUUAUUAUCACAGCCUAUAAAAAAAAUUAAGCUUAAAGAUGGCCUCACCUUUUUGUUGCACUACCCUUGUUCUUUCUUAUGUUUCGAUUGCACUCGUGGUCACCAUUUUUCCAACUUUCGGUACUGGUUCUACCAGAUUAGCCACAGCAUCCGAGCUAGAAAUGGAAGCAAAAGCUCUCCUUCAUUUAGGUUGGUGGAGUUGGCACGGCAAUGACACUCGCGAUCGUUGCGGAUGGAAAGGUAUAGCAUGCAAUGAAGCUGGGAGCAUCACCAGCAUUGAUUGUUCAUGGGUUGCGGUUAGGGGAAGCAUCUCGCCUGAAAUAGGAGCUUUCUCUUCACUCGAGUCCCUUAAUCUUUCUCACAGUGCUCUAGUAGGUGAGUUACCUCCAUCUCUCGGAAAACUUACACUCUUAGAAGAGCUCAACCUUUCCAAUAACUCUAUUACCGGUUCUAUCCCCCUAGACUGGGGGAACAUGAAGAGUUUGAAACAGUUAGACCUAUCCAAUAACCAAAUUCGUGGUCCUAUCCCUCCUACCUUAGGCAACUUAACCAAUUUAGAACAGUUGGACUUAUCCAAUAACCAAAUUCGUGGUAUUAUCCCCUUAGACUGGGGGAACAUGAAGAGUUUGAAACAGUUGGACCUAUCCAAUAACCAAAUUCGUGGUUCUAUCCCUCCUAC